rnacentral:rRNA from 1 species
UACGUAGGUGGCAAGCGUUGUCCGGAUUUAUUGGGCGUAAAGCGAGCGCAGGCGGUUCUUUAAGUCUGAUGUGAAAGCCCCCGGCUCAACCGGGGAGGGUCAUUGGAAACUGGAGAACUUGAGUGCAGAAGAGGAGAGUGGAAUUCCACGUGUAGCGGUGAAAUGCGUAGAUAUGUGGAGGAACACCAGUGGCGAAGGCGGCCUUCUGGCCUUAACCUGACGCUGAGGAGCGAAAGCUAGGGGAGCAAACGGG